rnacentral:rRNA from 1 species
GGGGAAUAUUGGGCAAUGGGGGAAACCCUGACCCAGCAACGCCGCGUGAAGGAAGAAGGCCUUCGGGUUGUAAACUUCUUUUACCAGGGACGAAGAACGUGACGGUACCUGGAGAAAAAGCAACGGCUAACUACGUGCCAGCAGUUGCGGUAAUACGUAGGUUGCAAGCGUUGUCCGGAUUUACUGGGUGUAAAGGGCGUGUAGGCGGAGAUGCAAGUCAGGAGUGAAAUUCCGGGGCUCAACCCCGGAACUGCUUUUGAAACUGUAUCCCUUGAGUGUCGGAGAGGCAAGCGGAAUUUCUAGUGUAGCGGUGAAAUGCGUAGAUAUUAGGAGGAACACCAGUGGCGAAGGCGGCUUGCUGGACGAUAACUGACGCUGAGGCGCGAAAGCGUGGGGAGCAAAC